UGCGACCCCUGGACGGUGCGUCACCCACCCUCGCCGCCACGACGCCAGGCAAUCGCGGCAACUCGGCGGCGCCACGUCUCCACCGGCCACCGUCGUCGUCGCCAAGCCUCACCGGCCCACCACCUCCACGCCUGCGAUCUCCGCUGGUUGCUGGCCUCUCCCCCGCCGCCGCCGGCGCGUCACGACUCUGGGGGCACCGGACCCGCCUCCACCCCCUAGAUCGGGCGCCUCCUCCGCCAGCCGCUGGUCUCACACCCCGCCUCUCCCCGCUGGGGCCGUGCGAGCUCGCCGUGGAGCGGAGAGGACGCGCGACAGCAGGGGAGUCCUGCUCUUCCUCCUCGCCGAGCCCCCUUGCGGAUCCAUCCUUGCUGAUUCGUACUGCUGGAAGCUAAGCAAGCUGUUGAAUUGAUUGGAAAGUGGGAAACGAUUGAUGUGGCUGAUGCACUGGAGCUUCUCUCACCGGAUUUUGAAAGUGACGAAAUUCAUUGUGAGCUACCUCAAAAAUGUCUGCAAGCACAUCCCACACAAUUGAUAGCUCUGGACCGAUGAUGAGCAUGAUUCAUCUCAACCACGUGUUAGGAGAUCAAAGGUAUGUCAAUUCUUUGAGCAAGAUUUGGUGAUGGUAGAUGAUGUUUAGAAGGCAGUUUGCAAGUAUUGUGGGCUGAGACUUGGGGCUCAAUCGGGCACUAGUAGUCUUAGAAGUCAUAUUGCUACAACUUGCCCGGCUAUUGGUGAUGCUGAUAGAAACAGUUUUUUAGACACCAUAAAGAAAAAAUCUUCAGAUACCUUUGUGUUUGACCCCGUCUUAAGUCGUGAGCGCAUGGUUCAGUUUGUCAUACAUGCUGAAAUCGAAUUCAAUAAAUUUGAAGACCCUUACUUUGAGCCAUGGAUGGAAAGUCUACAACCAA